CUUGACAUCCAGAGAAUUUAGCAGAGAUUGCUUUAGUGCCUUCGGGAACUCUGAGACAGGUGCUGCAUGGCUGUCGUCAGCUCGUGUUGUGAAAUGUUGGGUUAACGUCCGCAACGAGCGCAACCCUUACCCUUUGUUGCCAGCACGUAAUGGUGGGAACUCAAAGGAGACUGCCGGUGAUAAACCGGAGGAAGGUGGGGAUGACGUCAAGUCAUCAUGGCCCUUACGAGUAGGGCUACACACGUGCUACAAUGGCGCAUACAAAGAGAAGCGACCUCGCGAGAGCAAGCGGACCUCAUAAAGUGCGUCGUAGUCCGGAUUGGAGUCUGCAACUCGACUCCAUGAAGUCGGAAUCGCUAGUAAUCGUAAAUCAGAAUGUUACGGUGAAUACGUUCCCGGGCCUUGUACACACCGCCCGUCACACCAUGGGAGUGGGUUGCAAAAGAAGUAGAUAGCUUAACCUUCGGGAGGGCGUUUACCACUUUGUGAUUCAUGACUGGGGUGAAGUCGUAACAAGGUAAGCGUAGUGCU
rnacentral:rRNA from 1 species